rnacentral:piRNA from 1 species
UCCAAUCGCGCGGAACUUGAGACU